rnacentral:rRNA from 1 species
UGGGGAAUAUUGCACAAUGGGCGCAAGCCUGAUGCAGCCAUGCCGCGUGUAUGAAGAAGGCCUUCGGGUUGUAAAGUACUUUCAGUCGGGAGGAAGGUGGUAAGGUUAAUAACCUUGGCAAUUGACGUUACCGACAGAAGAAGCACCGGCUAACUCCGUGCCAGCAGCCGCGGUAAUACGGAGGGUGCAAGCGUUAAUCGGAAUUACUGGGCGUAAAGCGCACGCAGGCGGUUGAUUGAGUCAGAUGUGAAAUCCCCGGGCUUAACCCGGGAAUUGCAUCUGAUACUGGUCAGCUAGAGUCUUGUAGAGGGGGGUAGAAUUCCAUGUGUAGCGGUGAAAUGCGUAGAGAUGUGGAGGAAUACCGGUGGCGAAUGCGGCCCCCUGGACAAAGACUGACGCUCAGGUGCGAAAGCGUGGGGAGCAAACAGG